AAGAUCAUACUUCAAGGGAUCUAUUGAAGUUUGUUUCUUCAGCUUCAUGAACAACAUGAAGUUAACAGGACCCACGAUGACGAGGUAUUGGGCCUUUUCCUGAGCGCGAAAUUGAGGUGUGGUUAAGUAUUCCGGAUUCCGGAAUGCUAAAUCAAAAUGCCUCCUUGAUGAACGUUUUCAUGGCUCAUAACUGAGCUAUGGAAGGGAAAAGGCUCGUUCCGAGUGGU
rnacentral:snoRNA from 1 species